rnacentral:lncRNA from 1 species
UGAGAGGUGAGCAGUCCUCGAAUCCACCCAAACAAGCCGAAGGAAACAGAGGGGAAAAGACAGGCUACAGCUACCGUCAAACAACCGAAAGGGAGGAGUCAGACGUGACGCAUCCCAGGCAUCUUCUUCUUCUUGUUUAAUGGCGAUUAACUCCAAAGUAGCAUUAUCGCCACCUACUGUGUUGGAUGGCAAAUUAACCUUGGGUGAUAAGUCUGAAGUUUUUAAAACUAUUUCCUCUUCCUUCUUUCACACAUGGACCAUUAACUAUGUUUCCUUGUUGAACCCUACUCUAUCAUUCCACAUACAUCAUCAUUAUUUAUCAUAUCUGCAAUAGAGGUUUUCAUUGAGCUUCAUCCGGCGCUGCGUGUUCAGCUCCUCCGUCCACACUCAGCCCCCAUGGCAGGUUCAACAUUUCAAGUAUAUCAUAUUCUAAAUCCCAAACCUGAAUCAUAUAUAAACGUAAUUAGUGCUCUAUGUAUCCUUUAAAAACUAUUUCCUCUUCCUUCUUUCACACAUGGACCAUUAACUAUGUUUCCUUGUUGAACCCUACUCUAUCAUUCCACAUACAUCAUCAUUAUUUAUCAUAUCUGCAAUAGAGGUUUCAUUGAGCUUCAUCCGGCGCUGCGUGUUCAGCUCCUCCGUCCACACUCAGCCCCAUGGCAGGUUCAACAUUUCAAGUAUAUCAUAUUCUAAAUCCCAAACCUGAAUCAUAUAUAAACGUAAUUAGUGCUCUAUGUAUCCAUUAAACCUUUUCCUAAAAUAUCCUCAUUCUUCAUUCUAUCCUCUCCAUUCUUCAGAUGACUGACAAUGUAUCCUCCCUACUGUCUAUGUGAUACUAUAACACCAUCUCCCUGUGCUACUACUGUCCCAUCUAAUUUGCCACUUAUUCAUUAACUUUCUCUUUAAAAUCGAUUUUGCCUCCUUUUUCCCCAUAGGUACUUUAACAUCCACCUCCCUCUUGUCUAGUGCUUUUUUUGCUAGUUUAUCCGCAACUUCAUUACCAGUUACCCCAAUGUGUGCUGGUACCCAACAGAAAUACACCACUAUUCCAGCCUCUUUCAGUCUGUAUAAUGAUAAAUAAUAUAUUUCCAUUAAUAAAUCAUCUCUGUCUGAUCUUGCAUGUACUAUACUACUUAAAGCUGAAAAAGAAUCUGAACAUAUUACCACUUUAUUUGGUCUGACCUGUUCGACCCACUGUAGUCCUAUUAUUAGCUAUUAUUAUUAUUAGCUGUUAACUCUGCAGUGAACACGGACAUCUCAUCAGUCAACCUCAAACUAAUCUGUUUUUUUAAAUGUGGAAUAUAUACACCUAAUCCAACCCUCUGACUGAUAGGUUCCUUAGUACCAUCUGUAAAUAUUUGUAAUACUGAAUAAAAUGUAGUUAUUUAAAA